rfam:Cronobacter sakazakii ATCC BAA-894, complete genome.
CGGCGCUUGAGGCUUUUUGCCUCAUGCUGUCGGCAGAAAUGCCGUGAUGGUGAGGCAGAAAGAAGAAAGCCCCGAAGGUCAUUUAUUCAAUUAACCAACGAGGCCCCCUGAUGCAUCAACACCAUCAGCGUAGCCUCUUACCCGCCGAAAGGCAAGGAGAAGAAGGCCAUG